GGACGUGCUGCGGCGGCGGCGAGCGCACGCGACCGUCCUGGUGGUGGGCGCGGGGCCGGUGGGGCUGACCGCGGCGCUCGUCGCUGUCCGCUCGGGCCGGGUGCUGAAGCUGACCGUGCUGGACGCGUGCGCGCGGGGUCCGCUGCUGGGGCGCACGCAGCAGAUUGCGCUGGACCCCCGCAGCGUCCGCUUCCUCCAGCCGCUGGGAGUGGACUUCGACAACAUGGAAGGCUGCUGGCGCAAUGGCCACUUCUUCACCCGGGUCGGCGUCUUCCAGGAGCACCUGCUCAGCCUCCUGGAGAGGAAGGGCCAGCGGCCUGGCUUUCGUCUUAUCCUGGGCACCAAGUUUACAGAUGACUUCAUGAGAAAGGUGGUAGUGCCAGACUGGCCCAAAAUCAUUGUGGUGGCUGAUGGCUCCCAUGGGGAGACCUGCUCUGUUCUGGGGCUCAGUCCAGAUUAUGUAGUGGAAUCCUGCAAUGCUUAUGGAGCUAACGCCACCAUCACGAGACUGGACCAGAGACAGACUGUACCCCACAAAGACAACUUAGUCUGGUUUCUGCCCCUCACAAGGCAUCCAGGAUUCAGAGAAAAAAGUCUCCUAUGUACUGUUGGUUCAGGAGAAAUGAGCAAGUGGAGGAAGAUGCAAGCCGUAAUGAUGUUUCCUUAUUCUUUCACUCAAAAACAUUUAAUAAGCCUUUAUUAUGUUCACGGAAUUGUACCAAAAGUAUGCUGAUAAAUAUCUAGAGUGAUUCCAGAUCGUGUCCUUAGAUUCUCCACCCUCAAGGAGGAGGAAUUAACUCCCACUCCUUAGGUGUGGGCUGCAUACAGUGACUUCCUUCUAGAGAGGACACUGUGGAAAGAGAAGAGGAGACAGUAACUCUACAGGGGAGAAACCUGAUAAACGCGACUGCAGCAAGGCGGUCAAGGUCAACAUCAACAGUGAUAAGUCAUGGUGACACCCUUGAUAUGAUGUGAUGAGAACAAGACUUUAUCUCUGUGGUCAUUUUCCCAAAUGCUCACAGCCACAGACUAAUCAUGAGAACAAUAUCAGAGAAAUCUCAAUUGAGGGACAUUCUACAAAAUACCUGAUCAGCGCCCCUCAGAACAGUCAAGGUCAUCAAAAACAAGGAAAGCCUAAGAAACUGUCGCAGUCUGGACGACCUAAGGAGACAUGAAGACUAAAUGUACUGUGGUGUCCUGGAUGGGAUCACAAGAUAGAAAGGAAAUAG
rnacentral:lncRNA from 1 species